rnacentral:rRNA from 1 species
GGGGAAUUUUGGACAAUGGGGGCAACCCUGAUCCAGCCAUGCCGCGUGAGUGAAGAAGGCCUUCGGGUUGUAAAGCUCUUCCGCCCGGGAAGAAAUCGUGCAGCCUAAUCCCCUGUAUGGCUACCGGUCCCGGACUAAAAAGCCCCGGCUACCUACGUCCCAGCAGCCGCGGUAAUACGUAGGGUGCGAGCGUUAAUCGGAAUUACUGGGCGUAAAGCGUGCGCAGGCGGUUUUGUAAGACAGGCGUGAAAUCCCCGGGCUCAACCUGGGAACUGCGCUUGUGACUGCAAGACUAGAGUACGGCAGAGGGGGGUGGAAUUCCACGUGUAGCAGUGAAAUGCGUAGAGAUGUGGAGGAACACCAAUGGCGAAGGCAGCCCCCUGGGUCGAUACUGACGCUCAUGCACGAAAGCGUGGGGAGCAAACA